rnacentral:pre_miRNA from 1 species
GUGACAGAAGAGAGUGAGCACACAUGGCACUUUCUUGCAUGUCCAUCAUCAUGCUCGAAGCUUUGCGUGCUCACUCUCUAUCUGUCAC